rnacentral:rRNA from 1 species
GACGAACGCUGGCGGCGUGCCUAACACAUGCAAGUCUACGAGAAAAGGGUAGCAAUAUCCUGAGUAAAGUGGCGCACGGGUGAGUAACACGUAGGCAAUCUGCCUUCAGGACGGGAACAACCCCGAGAAAUCGAGGCUAAUACCCGAUAAUGCAGCGGCACCGCAUGGUGACAGCUGUUAAAUGCCCGCAAGGGCGCCCGAAGAUGAGCCUGCGCCCCAUUAGGAGUUGGUGAGGUAACGGCCCACCAAGCCUACGAUGGGUAGCUGAUCUGAGAGGAUGAUCAGCCACACUGGAACUGAGACACGGUCCAGACUCCGUACGGGAGGCAGCAGUGAGGAAUAUUGCGCAAGUGGGACGAAAGCCUGACGCAGCGACGCCGCGU